UCGUUCCUGUGGAGCGGGUAUUGAGGUUACUAUGGUAAUCCUAGCCCAUAAUAGUUCAGUCUUUUCCUUUAAAAGGCUGAUGCUUGCCUGCAAUAAACGUCGCCUUGAUCAGACUCUUGUCUUGGCGUUCUUCCUUUCUCUCUACCCCAUCUCCACCCCGCUGCUCUUUCAGGUUUGAGACACUGCUGGACAGUGCUCUGCAUCGCCGGCUCGCGACACUAAUGCAGUGGUUUCUGCCCUUCUCACAACUAAUGAUGCAAGGAGAUGUGUACUGAAUAAGUUUUCCUGGAUGUGAUGUUCACUGUUCAGAGUGAGCCACAGAAAGUAUUCAGGAUCCUUAAGAUAGAUGGUUUCCUUCAAGAGAGCAUACUGAAGUCUAGAAGCCUGGGGCCAAUAAUCAUACGAAGGUCUGAGCACAUGGUGACCCAGGAGAAGCCAAAUCUUUGAGUAGUGCCAGGAUUCAGGUAAGAGUAGGCCUGGGCCUGCAUCUCAGUACAAGACAUGGAAUCUCCACGGAAUUUGGUACGUGAUGGUGGGGACAAUGAGGGCUGUUUUUGCCUUACUUUUUUGUGUACAAGUACCCAGGGAAGCAAGGAAUGUGGAACUUUGCCAAUUUACUGACUGGGAAUUUGCGCUUGGUAUAUGGUGAAGGAAAAUGAAUGUUGAGGGCCUGUGUGUCCUUAGAUUGUGGGUACCCUUUUCCAGUGACAUUGUGGUGGACCAGCCUGAAGAACAGAAUGGAAAGAAUCUUUGCAGAGCUAGUUCAUGAGAUUUAGUUUUGUGGGAUGAUAGUGUCCUCUUCAGACUGGUUUUGUCAUGUGGGUGAAAUGAAAGCCUUCAAGUAGUGAUGUCCAGUGUGAGGGCCAGUUACUCUUGCAGAGCAAACUGCUUGCUGAAUUACAUGGUGUUAGCACAGUGUAGCUGGCUAAAUUCAGCAGUUCAGAAAAGUUUGUUGAGGAAUGGUUGCAGAU
rnacentral:lncRNA from 1 species